rnacentral:lncRNA from 1 species
CAUCCAAUGCCCACAGUUUGCCCACCGGACGGCCCUGCUAGGUGGGAAGCUCCUUGCAGGCAGGAACCCCAUCUCCUUGACUUUACUUUGGAAUCCCGGCAGCCUCAUAUGGGGCUGAGGCAGGUCCUUCCGUAAAAUGGAACUGAAUGAGCGGCGCUUAAUCCAUCCGCCAAAGGCCAGUCUCCCUUGGGUUUUCAACAGUGCAAUGAGCUUCAUGCUGAAUACUGAUUUGAAGUGUGGUUCACCACACAGACUUAAAUUGUCCUUCCCACAACUUUAUCUGAGAAGCCUGACAACGGUGACAAUCACAGGACUAGUUUUAUUGGUCAGGAUGUGGUGUUACUAUAUUAAAGCGCUUCAGGUUUUCAUAGCGCUCGUCAAACAGAGACCUCGGAACACUCUGCAGACAUUAAUUAAUGUUCGCUCCGGCCCUGGAAGCCAUUUCACCAAUGGAAAUUCCGAUGAGAAAAAGGAAGAAACGAGGGGUUCAAGGCCGCGCCGUUGUGAGUCCGCUGCGGAACUAGGAACUGAAACCCCGUGGUUCCCAAUGAGCCAGCGAAAGUCUGUCGAAGUAUUGAGCACCCCUAUUGAAGACUGUGGGAGUUUUGGCGGCUUAAUGGGAUUGUGUUCGGUCCUUCAGGCUCUCCUUUAAAAGAUUCCAUGGCACCAACGAGACUCCAAUAAAAGGGCCUCUCUAAUUGCUUUCUGACUUUCUAUGAAACUUUCUAAGCUAUGCUGACAUCCUCGAAUACAACUAUGGAAUUAAAGAGGAGAGAAAGGCGAGGCACAGUGGGUGCGCAAAGAAAAAGAGGUUCUCAGCGGA